GUUAAAGCUGAUGCCUGCUGAAGAUUCUGUGAUGGUUGUACAUGCACAGCUAUAUCUUGGAUCUUGUUAUCAGAGUUGUGUGAUGAGAAGAUGAGUUUGCUCCUUAACACAUCCUGAAUUGUUUACACAGGAGUCCGUCAAUCGCCAUCAGCACUGCAGACGAAGGAGAACUGGAGACAGUAUGGCCACUGGUCAGUACCUAUUGGUGACCCUACUGUAAUGGUAACGUUCGGACUUCCCUCUCAAUCCUACCCGAAAACUACAGAACAUGGAGGAACCUACAGUUUGGAAACGAAAAGCAUUCCUUGUUGAGUUGUUGUACCACACGUUCUUGUAGUUCUAGUAAUGAGAGUUCCUGGCACGAAAACCUGGGACAGUUCCUUUUGCCCUUCACCCUCUUGGAUUUGGUUGUCUCUACCGUUCAUUCACACAACGAAACAAUCAUGCUGAUGGAGGAGGAGUAGAAAUUAAAACUCUCCCGGCCAACGUUAAUUUUUGCCACCCCUGGUUUUUAGAAAAGACAAGCAAUUAAGAUAUCGGGAUAUUAUGUGCAAGUUAUUAUUAACAUUUA